AGGACUGUAGUUAAAUAUAACAUUUGAUUUGCAUUCAAAAAGUAUUGAUUGAUCAAUCUGUCUUA
rnacentral:tRNA from 1 species